rnacentral:rRNA from 1 species
GACGAACGCUGGCGGCGUGCUUAACACAUGCAAGUCGAACGGUAAGGCCCUUCGGGGUACACGAGUGGCGAACGGGUGAGUAACACGUGGGUGAUCUGCCCUGCACUUCGGGAUAAGCCUGGGAAACUGGGUCUAAUACCGGAUAGGACCCUGGGAUGCAUGUCCUGGGGUGGAAAGCUUUUGCGGUGUGGGAUGGGCCCGCGGCCUAUCAGCUUGUUGGUGGGGUGAUGGCCUACCAAGGCGACGACGGGUAGCCGGCCUGAGAGGGUGACCGGCCACACUGGGACUGAGAUACGGCCCAGACUCCUACGGGAGGCAGCAGUGGGGAAUAUUGUACAAUGGCGCAAGCCUGAUGCAGCGACGCCGCGUGAGGGAUGACGGCCUUCGGGUUGUAAACCUCUUUCAGCACCGACGAAGCGCAAGUGACGGUAGGUGCAGAAGAAGGACCGGCCAACUACGUGCCAGCCGCCGCGGUAA